ACGAGUGAGGGUCGUUUAGGCCCGACCUCCCAACCCUUUGUUUACCGAACCUCUGUUGCUUCGGCGGACCCGCCUCACGGCCGCCGGAGGAUUGCCGACAGGCGUCCUCUGGCCCGCGUCCGCCGACGGCCAACCACUUAAACUCUGAAUAAAUCGUGUCAUAUGUCUAAGUCUAUGAUUAAAUUAAAGCA
rnacentral:misc_RNA from 1 species